rnacentral:rRNA from 1 species
UACGUAGGUCCCGAGCGUUGUCCGGAUUUAUUGGGCGUAAAGCGAGCGCAGGUGGUUUAUUAAGUCUGGUGUAAAAGGCAGUGGCUCAACUAUUGUAUGCAUUGGAAACUGGUAGACUUGAGUGCAGGAGAGGAGAGUGGAAUUCCAUGUGUAGCGGUGAAAUGCGUAGAUAUAUGGAGGAACACCGGUGGCGAAAGCGGCUCUCUGGCCUGUAACUGACGCUGAGGCUCGAAAGCGUGGGGAGCAAACAGG